CACCGCCACGGGAAUACAGAGGGUGCGAGCGUUAAUCGGAUUUACUGGGCGUAAAGCGUGCGUAGGCGGCUAAUUGAGUCGGAUGUGAAAUCCCCGAGCUUAACUUGGGAAUUGCAUUCGAUACUGGUUAGCUAGAGUGUGGGAGAGGAUGGUAGAAUUCCAGGUGUAGCGGUGAAAUGCGUAGAGAUCUGGAGGAAUACCGAUGGCGAAGGCAGCCAUCUGGCCUAACACUGACGCUGAGGUACGAAAGCAUGGGGAGCAAACAGGAUUAGAUACCCCUGUAGUCCCUGUCUCUUAUACA
rnacentral:rRNA from 1 species